UAUAUGUGCUUGUGUGUAUGUAUGUCUGUAUGUACAUGUAAGUAUAUGAAUAAACAUAUACAUACACACAUACACACACACAAGCACACAUACACACGGA
rnacentral:miRNA from 14 species